rnacentral:rRNA from 1 species
AAGAUUAAGCCAUGCAUGUCUAAGUAUAAGCAAUUUAUACAGUGAACUGCGAAUGGCUCAUUAAUCAGUUAUCGUUAUUUGAUAGUUCCUUUACUACAUGGUAUAACUGUGGUAAUUCUAGAGCUAAUACAUGCUUAAAUCUCGACCCUUUAGAAGAGAUGUAUUUAUUAGAUAAAUACAAUGUCUUCGGACUCUUUGAUGAUUCAUAAUAACUUUUCGAAUCGCAU